GUCUACGGCCAUGCCACCCUGAACAAACCCGAUGUCUGAUCUUGGAAGCUAAGCAGGGUCAGGCCUGAUUAGUACUUGGGUGGGAGACCACCUAGGAAGACUAGGCACUGUAGGUG
rnacentral:rRNA from 1 species